rnacentral:lncRNA from 1 species
GGCGACGCAGCACCUGUGGACAGAAAACCUCUCGGUAGUAUUUCGAUGAUUGCGGCCGCCUCAGAAUAGAUAUGGACAUGAGUCCGGAUCCAUAUGAAAAUAGACUUCAUAAGGAUUCCAAGGAGUACUCGAACGCCCAAAACGGAGUCCGGAUGAGGUCGUGGCGGUCGUUGCAAGUUGGGCCAGAACUGUAGUCCGAAUCCAGCACCAAAACGUGUUGGAUUGGAGCUCUUUCUUUCCUUGGGCCAAAAGUGACGUGGUGGCCUGGUGGAGGACGUUAGGAAUACUUGGACUUGGCCCCCAAUCUACUUCUUUGGUCCUCCAUGCCUUCCAUGUGUGUUUAACACUAUUUUUGAUCCAUGUAUGUAUUUCUGAAAUUGACAACGAAUACACAUCAUGGUGCAGCAUCAAUUCAUCAAAUGUAUCACAUAUAAUUAUGAUAAAGAAUUGUUUCACCUCAGAGUCAAAAGAUGCCAAUAUGGUUGUAUCCGAGCAUGUGAUGUCCUCAUCAUUCUCCCCUUCUUGGCUGCAAGUCGUCCUCGACUUGCUCCAGUGGCAUUCUAAGGUGCUUGUUUUGAUGUUGGAGCACGGAGCGACGGCCAUGCUGCAUGGCCACAACCAGUAAUGCUCCCCUUCUUUGGUCUUACCCUGUUGCAUAUGGGAAAAACUAGAAAAACUUUGCAAGACAUUAGUAGUGUUAGUGCAGCCCUCUAUUUGAUCAUGGUAUUGUAGCCCAAAAGGAUAUUUCAGAGUGGAGCAAACAUAAACUUUAUGCACUAAAUAUUCUCCUUUGCUAUCAUAUUUGCCAAUUGCAUGAAGCGAACAAUGAUUAAAACUUGGCAAACCAGAACCAAAUUGAAGUUUCUCUUUUAGACAAUUUAGAUUACACAAAACAUCAAAUUCAAUGUAACCCAAAGUAUUUAAAGAGGAUAGCAAAUUCAGUUCAUCUUGUGCACAAGUAAUAGGAUGAAAAAGCUUAUCUUCAGCACAUUUGUAUGAUUCCAAACCAAAAGUAUCACACUUAUUCACUACUUGUGGUAUAGGAGUAAAAGAAUCAUCAGCACACAAGUCCUCUUUAUCACAACGAACAGCAAGUAAUUCAUUUUGUGACAAAGGAAAAUCAGCAAUGGGUUCCACUAUUUGUUGCUCUUCAUUAGCAUGGAGAGUGGACAAAUUUUGGAUAUAAUGGGUCACAUCAUUCUUGCAAGUAUUCACAGAUAAUAGAAUCUCCUUUUCAACAUUGAGAGCAAGGCAAAACAAUUGACCAAUAUGUAUGUAUGAUUUGCUUAGCAACAAGGUUUGAAUUUCAGAAUUGAGCCCUCUCAUGAACCUACACAUAACAUCUUCCAUGCACUCAUCUAAUCCACCAUACAUGAUACAAAUUUUAAAAUCAUGGAAGUAUUCUUUCACAGUCCUACUACCUUGCCUCAAGUUGUCUAAUUUUUCAAGCAAAUAAUUAGCAUAAUAUUCAGGAAUGAAUGCAUCUCUAAAAAGAAAUUUGAAGUCUUCCCAAGAUUCUAGAACUUUGUUGUGCCUACAAAUCGUUUCCAUUCAAGCAAAGCAUAUUCAGUCAAAACAUUAGAGGCAAUAUAAAUCUUUUGUUUCUCGGACAGGUCAUGCUCAUCAAAUUCAUUAUCUACUUUUAUCUCCCAAUCAAUGUAAGCUUUAGGAUCAAACUUACCAUCAUAUAACGGCAAGUGUUGAAUAACACUCUGAAUAUGAGAGUCUAGUUUCAUCAGCUCCAAAAUCUCCGUAUCACCUGCCAUGGUUAGUAGGAAACAAGAAACACAAAAAUAAUAUGUAUCCUCCUGUCAACUACUAUGAUAUGUUGGUUGUAAUUCUCUCAAACUCAACUUGUAAAAACAAGCCCUUACAAGUUCUUACCAAGCCAAACAGGAGGUGACGGCAACUAACAAGUCUACAACCGUGGAGUGAAGUGUAUCGGUGCCGCAGCAACAAAAAAAAACCUGUCAAGCUGUAGUCGAAUAUGUGGAGCUGUAGGUGGGCUUAAGCAAGGAAAUAUACUAGCACCACGUUAGUCACAAAAGCAAGUUGAGUAAUCAUUCAACGGUGGUACUGUGCUGGUCCUAGGCUAAACCAUGCUAGAGACGUGAGCCUAGGCACAAAGGUAGUCACUGAAAAGAGCAACUAGCACAGCACAAAGAAAACAACAGAUUCAGCCCCUUCUUUCUUCCCCUUGUCUUGUCUUUUUUUUUCUUCUUCUUCUUUUUUUUUCUUUCUCUUGUUUUUUUGUUUCUUUUUUUUUGCAGAGGCCUAAAUCUUUUAUUUGGUACUAUAACAACCCAAACAAUAAGGCUAUAGCACACAGCCCCUUCGUAUAUUAGAUUUAACAACUCUUGCUAAUACAGCAGAUGCGGAAAUCUCUAAGACGAUUGUGGAGCGCUCAGACUGAAUUUUGCUGCAAGGUCAGAUCCGUUGGAAAGAAGACAACUUCAAGUUUCCAGAUUGUAUUUAAACUCCUAAAUCGGACAUCAUAUGAAACCGUGGUGGCAGAAAUGAAGCGAUGAUGUAUAUGGUGAUGGUGGGUCUCGUGGUGACCAAAACGUGAUAGAACUCAAAACUCUAAAGGAAUAGACACUAAGACCAGCAACUCGACACAACCGAUGCAACCAAAAACUCAACAAGCCCUAACUAAGCAAUGCUAGCAAAGGCUCAAAGGGUUUAUAGGAUUACAGGUAAACUAAUCUACUAUCUUUUUUGUGCUUUUAUGAACUAUAGGUAAUUAAAAAACAGCAAGGAACUGGAAGUCUCUCACCGAUAAACCUGGCUCUGAUACCAACUGAUAUGAACCCGCUAGGGUUGAUUCCCGAUCUUUCGAUGAGAGGCGUGGGAUAACUCGAUUGGUGGAUGGAGACGACGUUCACGGCCCGACUACAGCCUUCCAAGCUGCGCCUUAGCAACCGAUACACCACCUCCAAUGGCUGCCGCGAUCUUGUGGAGCGCGUCACCCGGCCACUAGGGCACUCGUCCUGCAAGCAAUCGAAGAACAAGCAAGAACAAGUAGAACAAGCAACUGAAUUGCAAAUAUAAAGAUGAAAACAAAUCUGAAAUCACAAAGUUGGGGUUCUGAAUCGAGUAGAACGGAUGGUCUAGUCGACACACGCGUCUACAAGGAAGUAGCAAUGGCUAAACUUUCAACAAAACAAAACCCAAUCUGUUCGUGGUGGCUCUAAUUCUUAUUAAUACCUAGGAGGACGACCAGGGGGGUGUUGGGGUCGUGCUCCAACCCUAGGACACAUCCCUAAUGGACCCAACUUGAUACACGGCCCAUCGGGCCAAAAUAGGGCGACGCAGCACCUGUGGACAGAAAACCUCUCGGUAGUAUUUCAAUGAUUGCGGCCGCCUCAGAAUAGAUAUGGACAUGAGUCCGGAUCCAUAUGAAAAUAGACUUCAUAAGGAUUCCAAGGAGUACUCGAACGCCCAAAACGGAGUCCGGAUGAGGUCGUGGCGGUCGUUGCAAGUUGGGCCAGAACUGUAGUCCGAAUCCAGCACCAAAACGUGUUGGAUUGGAGCUCUUUCUU